UUUAAACUCACUAAAAUAACCGCUCUUGUGGCGGUUCCAAGAGGUUAUGGUUGGUUUUUGUAUCAGGUGGUUACCUCCACCUUUUGCUGCCCACUAUCUCCAUAAAUCAACCACCUAAAUGUCACCUUUAACCGUUUUGAGUAUUGACACCAUAUCUUGUACAAUCUAUGGUGGCAGUUAAGGGAAGUUCUUUGCAGUUUCCUCAGUUGGUGGUUACUACAUCUUUUCCUGCCCAUUAUCUCCACAAAUCAAAACUCCUACAAAUCUGGGUUGAAAACAAAAUUCCUUCUGCAACAAAAUCAAGCACUUCGUUAGUAAUAUAUAGAAAACAUUGACUGACUGUUGAGGCGUCUUAUCAGAAUCUCAUCGCCAUGGCUGGAUCUGCUGCUUAUGAAUGAUGGGGUGAUUCCAUUGCAAUUUCAAAAGGCAUUUCCUACGAUGUUUGAAUGCAUUUCGAUUUCAUAUGUAAUCCUUUCGUAUUUUGGGUUUGCGUUUGCGUUUCAGUUAUGGCGAAUUUGGGGUUUUGGUAACAAACGGAAAAUUUUAUUUCAUGAUUUUCUUGUCAAUGUUUAGAUAAAAGGUUAUUGUCAAUGUAUCUUUGGUUUCUG